CAGUCGCCGCGGGAAUACGUAGGUGGCAAGCGUUGUCUGGAAUUAUUGGGCGCAAAGGGCUCGCAGGCGGUUUCUUAAGUCUGAUGUGAAAGCCCCCGGCUCAACCGGGGAGGGUCAUUGGAAACUGGGAAACUUGAGUGCGGAAGAGGAGAGUGGAAUUCCACGUGUAGCGGUGAAAUGCGUAGAGAUGUGGAGGAGCACCAGUGGCGAAGGCGACACUCUGGUCUGUAACUGACGCUGAGGAGCGAAAGCGUGGGGAGCGAACAGGAUUAGAUACCCCCGUAGUCCCUGUCUCUUAUAC
rnacentral:rRNA from 1 species